GGUCGCUUAGCUCAGUUGGUUAGAGCGUGGUGCUAAUAUGGAUAUAUCUAUCCAGUCAACGCCAAGGUCGCGAGUUCGACCCUCGUAGUGACCA
rnacentral:tRNA from 1 species